ACGGUGUUGCAUUGUUUCAACUGGAAAAUUCAGGGAAACGGAUAUUUAAAACGAGGCUUGAUUUUUAUUGAAAAACAAUCAAGUAUCGUUACAUCCCCCUCCCCUGGGAAAAAUUGAAGUUGCGUUGAAGACACAAGUUCAAUUUAAUAAGGGGUAACUGGCCCAUCAAAAAAAAAAAAUUAAUCGGAAAUUCAAAUCGGUUAAGUGCUCGCUAUCUCACCCUUACAGAGUUCUCAUCCUUAUCUAAACAGUACAAUAGAAGUGAUAUCCGGAUCUGCUCACAGGUGUAGUUCAGUAAUCGUCCGGUAGGCGCUCCUUCCAUGUAUAGUGGUUCCCUCCUAUCCAUGAUCCAUGAUCCAUACUCUGCGCUCUGCGUUAUGCUCCGUGAUCGGUGUCGUCCCUAGCUAUGGACCGAAGUGCGUGUGAUCUUUGAUCCGAUUGUCGGUAGACGUUUGACAUAACCUAUUCCGUGGCACUCUAUGACUGUCGUUGGUUCGGUGGUAUCUGUCAGAAACAACGUGCUUUUAGUGGAAUGAAAUUACUCCAGAAUCGGGAAAUGAAAUCGACGGCAACAUAAAACGAGAACUAUCAUUCACGAUGAAAUGGGCUGAUGAGGCAUCUUCAACGUCGACCACUUGUUGGCACUGUUUCCUUGGAUGUUGGUUCGGUGUAUCAUUUGACUACGAAGACGGGUCAAGCAGGUGGAAAUGUACCCAAGCUUGAAAUCACUCGUUGUUGGAGGUGAGUUGGACCCUCUCAAAACACUGGAGGUGGAUGUGGACAUUCACUGUGUGCCAGAAUCUUGUUCGGAGUUGGAACGUAAUCCUUGACGGAGGAAUGGUGGAGGCUCUCUGAUCCGACAGUCCCCGCUAGGUAGGUUAACAGCUGAACUUUCAGUUAAAUCUUGUUGGAGUAAUUGAUAUCCUAGAACAGACUUAAUUGCCACAUAGGUUAUGUUUUAACAGUAGAACAUUGACAGUAUACAGAGCUUUUUCCAGUUUUCUUGGGUAGAAUUAAAUUGAACAGAUCACGGAUAUGCACUUUCACCUGUAUCGGUGUUACAAUUUCAUAGAAAAAGUUACACAGGAAAACAGUAGUAGAGAACU